rnacentral:lncRNA from 1 species
UUGUUUUCUACACAGCUUCCUUUGGAAAGAAUUUAUUCCAACCUACUUUGCAGUGCAUUCUUCCUAUCCAUAUGCAGUUCUUUUAUAGUAUGUUGGUUUAUCCUCUCCAUGGAGCUUCGUGCCAAUAUGGAAAAUUAAAGCAAGACGGAAAUGCUUUGCAGUAUGAAGUUUAUCUGAAAAAUGUUUCAUAACUGCAUUUGGAAACUUCCUUCUGAACAUCUGAAAAAUAUCAAGAAUUUAAAAAAAUGAAGUGUGUGCUUAAGUCUGUUGCGUACAGUUCCAUCCAUGCUCCUACAUUACAGAGGCAGAUUUAUAAGUCUCUAGAAUUCCUACUUAUAUGGAGAGGAAGGGAAGAGGAAGGAGAACACUGUGCAGUAAAGAUCACAUGCAACCUAUUACAUUUGCUAAAGAAUGAUCCAGAUGAAAUGUCUCAUUUUGAAUUCUCUUCCGUGGAAGGCUGCAGGUGCAUGUUCAUAAUUUGA